rnacentral:rRNA from 1 species
AGUGAACGCUGGCGGCAGGCCUAACACAUGCAAGUCGAACGGCUGCACAGGAGAGCUUGCUCUCUGGGUGGCGAGUGGCGGACGGGUGAGGAAUACAUCGGAAUCUACCUUGUCGUGGGGGAUAACGUAGGGAAACUUACGCUAAUACCGCAUACGACCUUCGGGUGAAAGCAGGGGACCUUCGGGCCUUGCGCGGUUAGAUGAGCCGAUGUCGGAUUAGCUAGUUGGCGGGGUAAAGGCCCACCAAGGCGACGAUCCGUAGCUGGUCUGAGAGGAUGAUCAGCCACACUGGAACUGAGACACGGUCCAGACUCCUACGGGAGGCAGCAGUGGGGAAUAUUGGACAAUGGGCGCAAGCCUGAUCCAGCCAUGCCGCGUGGGUGAAGAAGGCCUUCGGGUUGUAAAGCCCUUUUGUUGGGAAAGAAGUCCUGUCGGUUAAUACCCGGCGGGGAUGACGGUACCCAAAGAAUAAGCACCGGCUAACUUCGUGCCAGCAGCCGCGGUAACAC